rnacentral:lncRNA from 10 species
AAGGCCCAGCAGGCAGGAGGUCCUGGAAAUAAAGCUCCAGAAUAAUCACUCUGAAGACAAUGCAGCAGGAAGAAGGGACCAGGACCUCCUGAGCAAAGCAGACUUUCAGACAGAUUUAAGUGACAAUUGAUGUUUUUUCCUUUCUCAUCAAUUCAUUUAUUCACUGACCCAUCCACUCAUCAGUCCAUUAGAUUAGCUUUUGUGCCAGGCACUACAUUAGGUUUUGCAAAUAUUUCUUUUAACAAAAGAGCAAGUUUCCUGAGCUCACCGAAGUGAUACACUGAAUGCUUGUAUGCCUAUAUGCUUAGAGGAGCAGAUAUUAUAAACAAUGGCAGUAUAAAAUGAGGUAAAUAGCACAAACAAGCUUUACCAUGUUCAUUGGGUACGCACAGCUUGGGCAAAUG